CUCCCUCAAAAUAUUCAAGAAUGUUUUCUCUAGGAGGAGUUCGCGCGCUUCCCCAAAUUUUUGCCCGCGUUCUCUCUCUCUCUCUCUUGCGCUGGUUGAUUUUCACAGGGGUUUGCACAUAAACAGUUUUCCCUUCUCUUUUUCUCACUUUUCACCCUUUCUCAUAUUUUUAUUUAUUUUUUGUAGAAUCUCAUAUCUUUAUUUUGAUUACUAGGGGUUUGCAAACAAACAGUGAUCAGAGAAAGCAUUACCAAUUAGUUUCUUAUAGGAAUCGUUCUUUGCCGCUAUGGGGUUAGGGCUUUGGUUUUGGAUCUGUCAAAGCACAAAAAGAAAGCAUUAACAAUCAAAAUGAGCUUUAACCCUCUUCAAGAUAUUAUGAUUCCUUGCCAACAAAAAAAAAGAUGUUUGGGUUUGUAACUUUCGUCUAGCUAGAGACUGUGAAGAUGAUUUUGGCAAAGGACAAUCACCAUUGUCUGUGGAGCUUGUGUUUUGGUGAAACCCUAUGGGGAAAAGUCAAGAAUUAUUCAUAGGAAUCUCCCAAAGAUGAAAGUGGUGUACUUAAAGCAGUGCAAAAUGUGCAUGCAAUGAUAGACAAGGAAAUAGGUUUUGGCACAAACCCUAAGAAUGUUUUCCUCUGUGGAUUUAGUCAAGGAGGUAUGAACUCCACCUCUCUGUCACUCUUCUCUCCCACAUUGAUUCCUAAUCUCCUAUGAAAAUAAAAUGCUUGUCCAUUUAUAAUACUUUUUCCAACCAAAUUAAUGGAUCAUCUAAUUUGAAAUGAUAACAAGAUGCUAGGUCAUUAGGACUGAAGGAAUUCUGAUAAGCACAUACAUAUGGUAUACCAAUGAAUCAUCUUAUUUUCUUUAUGAUGAAGCAAGAAAAUUAAAGAACCUAUGGGUCAGAAAAACUACAAUAAUUGUUUACCAAGGAAAAAAUACACUUUGAACAAAAAAACCUGUGUUUACAUGGGUUUUUUGUUGGUGAGAGAAAACUCCCAUAGACACAUAACCAAGGAUAAUAUUGGCCUAUACUAAUAAUGUGCAAAGUUGUAAUAAGUUUGGCAGGUGCUUUGGCAUUAGCCAAUGUUUUGUUGUAUCCAAAAACCCUGGAUGGAUAAUGCGCUCAAUGAUAGAGCACAUUUCACCAGAAGCAAAGGUAUUCUUCUAACAUACUAAACUAAAGGUGUCUGACUUGUCCAAAAAAAAGCUAAAGGUGUCUGAUUCUUUGUUUUUAAAUAAUCAGAUUUGUGUUUGAUUUUUAUGUUUUUAUAUUGCCAUUAUUUUGCACAGAAAGUCUGUUACACCAAUUUAGUGGAUGGGCAUUAUACCAAUGGCAUGUGGUUCAAUGUUACACCAUAAUUUUCAAUAACCACAACUUCCUUUUGGGUUCACCUUUGGAUAUCUUUCAUCUGAGAGUAGAACCAACAUAACUAGAAGUCCUAAUUAUCAGACUUAUUUGCAUGAGUAGAACCAACUUAUUACUAAUGAUCAAGAAAUAAGUUGAUCGCAAAGGUGGUUUAACAUCAUUCAAAACCUUUCUGUCUUCUAGAUAAUGCCACCAUGUUACUUCUUUACCAUUUGGGGUGAAACAUGUCUAGAUGCCUUAUCAGUGACUCUAUGGCUUAGUGUUUUCAAAUAGUCACUAUGGUGCCUAGGCAUUCGAUCAGGGCUAGGUGAUUAACUGCAUAAGUGGGUAUUUAUACUAGCAUAUGGCAAGGGUGUUUUGGUAAUUAAACAUGAUUCUUUGACUGAUGCACUUGCCACUUGCUAGAGAUGGAGCAGGGAGGUAAGCCCUUGACUGGAGGGCUCCUAGACCAAGGAUUCAUAUAUAGAUUUGUUUUGUAUUCUAAGAUAGUGUUGCUCUUUCUAUUUUGUGUAAAUGUGACCAGGGAGGUAAGCCCUUGUGUAAAUGUGAAUA